rnacentral:rRNA from 1 species
AACGAACGCUGGCGGCAUGCCUAACACAUGCAAGUCGAACGAGCCCUUCGGGGCUAGUGGCGCACGGGUGCGUAACGCGUGGGAAUCUGCCCAAAGGUUCGGAAUAACUCGGGGAAACCCGUGCUAAUACCGGAUAAUGUCUUCGGACCAAAGAUUUAUCGCCUUUGGAUGAGCCCGCGUCGGAUUAGCUUGUUGGUGAGGUAAAAGCUCACCAAGGCGACGAUCCGUAGCUGGUCUGAGAGGAUGAUCAGCCACACUGGGACUGAGACACGGCCCAGACUCCUACGGGAGGCAGCAGUGGGGAAUAUUGGACAAUGGGCGAAAGCCUGAUCCAGCAAUGCCGCGUGAGUGAUGAAGGCCUUAGGGUUGUAAAGCUCUUUUACCCGGGAUGAUAAUGACAGUACCGGGAGAAUAAGCUCCGGCUAACUCCGUGCCAGCAGCCGCGGUAAUACGGAGGGAGCUAGCGUUGUUCGGAAUUACUGGGCGUAAAGCGCGCGUAGGCGGUCG